ACACUGAGACCUGAGUUCCGGAUAUUGUGUGAUCCGUUUGCCGGGUCCUCGCGGUUUGUGAAUUGCUUCUUCAGCCGUCACUGCCUUGCGGCGAGGAGGAAAAUCUUCUGUUAGUGCAGGUUUGGAUCCCUUGAGGCAUGACGGCGGCUCCAAGAAUGACAACUCCACAAUGGGGGGAAAGUAGCUCUGUCCUCAAGCCUAGUGAGCAGCCGUUUGGGGUGUUCUGAAACUAAUAGCUCACGCACGGGGGCGUUCUGUGCCAUGCGAAGUCGCGGCCGAUCAAUGGAGCUUGAAUUUAGGUUGUGGAACCUCGGAGACCGGAUUGAAGUCAUCUUCGGCGUGACUAGCAAUUGGACGUGCAGUGAGGGUAAGCAUUCAGUUAUUUUAUCUUGGUAUUGGAGUCGUCGAGGUUACGACGAGACAGAUUGCGGUGUAAGACGUCCAUUGUUGUCAACACGAUCCGCGCAUACUACAAUAAGGAACAGAGAUUGUUUAGAACUGGUGGCGAAGGAGAGUAAUUAGUCGCUGUGAAUGGGAUGUCUGAAGUUGGCUAGCAACCUGUGGAGCGAACAGGGCAGGAGCAUAUAUCCAUUAUCCGGUGUUACGGUUACAAAGGAGACUUCGGCAUGACUACAAAAGAUGAAACCUGUGUGUGAAAAACAAAAACGUUUUGAAGCUACACAAAUAAUAUAGUUCAUUUAAAAUUGCAACCAAAAUAAAAUUUUAAACUAAUCCAAAUAAUCCAAAUAAUGAUAAAGAGGGUGGAAAAGAGGGUGAAAACAAUAUACAGUGACAAACAAAACCGAGUACAAAAUCUGAACACUCAUAGUUCAUUGAUCCUUCCAACUGACACAUAAGUCAAUUGAUAGAAUUACUUUUUUAUUGUGUGUAUUCAUCCAGUCCUCUACAUAGAUGAAAAAUCUCAUUAUCAUUUGAGGUAGGAUUUAUGAGAAAAGUGUUGUAGAAGCAUACAGACGUGCGUACUCAGUUUUGGUUGCUUCUUCUUGCUGAAUUUCGAAAUUUCAAUGUACACUCCUUGUUGCAAGAUUUGAGGGCAUUUUUUGUUUG